CCACUGUUGAGUUUUCCAAAUUUGCUGGCAUAUUGAGUGCACCAGUCUAACAGCAUCAUCUUACAGGAUUUGAAAUGGUUCAGCUGGAAUUCCGUCACCUCCACCAGCUUCGUUUGUAGUAACAAUAAUGUGGUUUUCUCUUCUUUUUUGUGAGGUGAUACAUCACAUUGAUCGAUUUGGGUAUGCGGAGUUAUCCUUGUCACCCUGGGAUGCGAUCAGCUUGGCCGUGGUGUGUCUUUUAUGUGGUGUUGGGUUCAGCUCACAGUAUUACUUUUUGAGUGUGUUCAGCUUGGCCGUGGUGUGUCUUUUAUGUGGUGUUGGGUUCAGCUCACAGUAUUACUUUUUGAGUGUGUUCAGCUUGGCCGUGGUGUGUCUUUUAUGUGGUGUUGGGUUCAGCUCACAGUAUUACUUUUUGAGUGUGUUCAGCUUGGCCGUGGUGUGUCUUUUAUGUGAUGCUGGGUUCAGCUCACAGUAUUACUUUUUGAGUGUGUUCAGCUUGGCCGUGGUGUGUCUUUUAUGUGGUGCUGGGUUCAGCUCACAGUAUUACUUUUUGAGUGUGUUCAGCUUGGCCGUGGUGUGUCUUUUAUGUGGUGCUGGGUUCAGCUCACAGUAUUACUUUUUGAGUGUGUUCAGCUUGGCCGUGGUGUGUCUUUUAUGUGGUGCUGGGUUCAGCUCACAGUAUUACUUUUUGAGUGUGUUCAGCUUGGCCGUGGUGUGUCUUUUAUGUGGUGUUGGGUUCAGCUCACAGUAUUACUUUUUGUGUCUUUCUUUGGUAUCAGAUGUGAUUCCUCCUCUUUCAUUUCUUGUUUUGUUUACUUGGGUCUUCUCUCUUUUCUUCAUGGUGAGCGUUGGCCUCACUAAGCUCUUUUGCAUACACCCUUCUAGUGUCACCAAGCUCUUUUAUUUUUUUAAAUUGAAGUAUAAUUAACUUACAUUGUUGGGUUGGUUUCAAGAAUAUAGACAGUGAUUCAGUCGUACAUAUACAGACAUAUUCUUUUUCAGAUUCUUUUCCAUUACCACUACACUCUUUAAAUCAUUACACAUCUUUGUUGGUAGAUGACAGGAAUUUCUUGGAAGAAUAACUGCAAGGACAUUUCCCUUCCUGGCUGGAAGGGUCUGGGGAGGCCCAGAUGAGGUGGAGCCUG
rnacentral:lncRNA from 1 species